GGCUCCAGCAUCCCCCCGCGACCCUGACGGAGAAGCGGCUUAGAAAAUGGAUGGAUGGAUGGUUAUCAAAUGAUUCUGGGGGGAAAGAAUGACGGCCAUGAAAAAGAACCAUCUAUCAUGCUAUGGGAGGCCACCAGGAGAACCCAUCCAUGUACCAGGACUUUGCCACUGGUCCAGUUUGCCCCUCGUUGACAAACUCCACUAUGAAGUACAUUGUGAGCUGUAUUGUGAAACCAGACCCCCAAAAUUAAAUGUGUUCUGUCAGAAACAUUUUUAGUUAUUUAAUGCCUAAAUAAAUAAUUUUCCAUCUGGACAGCCAUUCCAAAGCUUGAAAUCAAUGUUUUCAUAAAAACAAUUUCAUUCUAGGAAAAAAUGAUUAAAUCAAUAAAAUUAUCAUAGAAAUAAUUGUAUAUGUAGAUUGUUUGGUGAAAAGAAAACUGUAUCAAGAACAAUGAUGAACAAUGAUGAUGAUUAUCUAUAACAUCCAUUUUUCAUUAAGAUCUUGCAUGAUUAAAUCAGGUAAUAAGAAAAUUAGAUUUAUGAUCUAAUAAAUUCUUGUUGAUCACAAAAUACUAAAAGUAGUGAACAUAUCAGUACCUUUUGAUGUAUAACUUGCAGUACUAUCUACAAAUAACUUUAAAAAUAUAUAUAACAUAUGAUUCCAAGUUCUGAAUGGUGAUUUACUGCUGUUUUGUAUGCAAAAGUGGAAUUGACACAAAUUUGUCUUUGUAUGGAAUAACAAAGGCCUUCCCCUCUAUUUGGUUUACUUUGCAGUAGUUUAUCGUUCUUGUGGACCAAAUGUAUCGUCCGUGGACCAAAUGUAUGCCAAUUGUCGAUGAUGACUGGAUAUUGAAAGAAUGGUUCAUGCUGCUCAAAUGUACUGUAUGCAACAUAUACUUCAUUCCUGUAAGACAUAAUAUUUUUAACCUUGACAACUUUCCCCCCCAAAUAAAGAUGACUGUUGGCUUGGUCAAGUUUGACAGUGAAGAGUGAGGUUGCCAGCUCUUUGUACUGUGUUGCACCACAGAAAGGUGGUGAAAGAGGACCAGAAGUAUGUUCUUUUGACACACUUGUCUUUUUCUCCAUGCUGUCACUCCAUGGCUUCUCUGAUAGUCUCUUUCCAAUCUGACUCAGAGGGCAGCUAGGUUUCCUAAUGAGCUUUUUAAUUUUAUUCAGGUGGGUUUCAUAUUGGAAAGCACUGAAGCUGUCGAGAGCACCAUGGUUUUUUACAUCUUGUGCAAGAUGCACUAAAUUGUGAACAUUGUAGGAGACAAAUUUAGGGCCAUACAGCUCUCCAAAAUGAGACACAAAAAGACCCAAUAUGUCAUUGGCAUAGCCCAGGUAGUCCUCGAUCACGCUAUUAUUGCUGAGUAUGAAAAUUCCCACAAACAAAAGCAGAAAAUUUUCAUACACUGCGGUGUGCAGUACAUCUUUGAGCAGGACAGGGCCCAUGUACAAUAAAAAUUGCCUAAAUUCUGUGGCUUUCCAUCUGUCAAUUUCUCUGAGAGACCUUGGUUUACAUGCAAACUCCACAGGGACGCAGCUCUGAGCACCCAGCAGUCGCUCUGUUAAUAGGUUUUGCUGAAACCCAGGCAGCCUACAAGUGAGAGGACCUAACUUCAGCCACAGGUGAAGAAGUCGCUGCAUGACACCUAGGCACACAAGGUGCAUAUAAUCAAGAGGGAACCCAGAGACCAUUCCCGAAGAUGUUCUUUCUAAAGGUGAAAUGCCAAGGUGGUGAUCUGAAUCUGUCUUAUUUUUGAAACUUUCAUCGGUUCUGAGUGGCAUGUCCGUUCUUGGAUACGUCAUUCUGUUGUCCAUGUAAACUCCGUCCUGUGUGCAUUUCUCACAUCCAUGGGUGAUGCUUGCCAAGGACAGCUAGCAGGGCAUUUACGGCAUUGUGCGUAAUGUGGUGCUCAGCCGCCCAUUUCGCAAGUUCAUCCUGUAAAGAGUUGCACUCUGUUUCAGAGUCAGAUCCAGAAUUAAAUUCAGGCAAAUCAUUAGUACAGGAACCAAAGUCACUGUCACACACAGUACUUUGGCAGUCCAUGAAUUCUAUGUUGUCAUCAUCGCCAUCUUCACCUAUUGUAUUGUUUUCUUUUUCUAAAUUUGGGCUCUGCCCCCACCCUGUUGCCUGAGUUGACUCUGUGUCUCUAUCAACCCAUUCUUUUGCUCUUCGUUUAAUUGUCCAAUAAGAUGGUUUUCUGCAAGACAUAGUACACAAUAAAACAGAACAUACAAAACAUUGUCAUAUUCAAUCUGUUUUGUCAAAGCCAUUUAAAGGAACUUUUGUAUCUUCAAUUCAUACCUUUUUUUUGGAUGAAGGCGACACCUGUCUUGCAAGUCAACCUGCACAAAAAGAGACAAUUAUUGAGUGUUAGAUAAAAGUAAUUUGGGACUUGUAGUUAAUCAUCUUUCCAUGUUAGACUUGGUGAUUACUUUAACUUU